GGGCCCAUAGCUCAGUUGGUUAGAGCAGUCGACUCAUAAUCGAUUGGUCGAAGGUUCAAGUCCUUCUGGGCCCACCA
rnacentral:tRNA from 2 species